UACAUGUGAACUUACAAUUUCCUGGUAACCGUAUUUAAAAAGCUGGAUUCCCAAAAAGGCCUGGGUUUUCAAGCCUUCACUCCAUGGAGGAGAAUUAAGCUGGACUGUGGCAGGGAAGUGAGAGUGCAAGCUCAAGAGCAGGGAUCUGUUAUCUGCUUCAUCAUUAUGCUAAGGGAAAGAGAGACUUGCAUGGACAAUUAAGGAAAACAUGGAAAGUGCUGUAACAGAAUUGGGAAGACUGCCAAGGGAAUCAUGGAGGCUUCACUGAUAAGCUGGUAUUUGCUCUGGGUAUAAAGAGAGCCAGAAGAAGUGGAUAGAAUCUCAGAAGCAAGAAGCCAGAAUUUGUGUAGAGGAUGAGGAAGUCACCUUGUAUAUCUCACUAUGAAGAGGCACAUCUGUCUGGCCUUGAGAUGUCUCCUGCAGGGUCCCCAAGCACUCCGAACUGACCAUUAGCAUUGCCUUUGUGACAUUCUUUGUAAUUGUUCAUUUACCUCUCAGUCUCCCACUGAACCAGGACAAUCCGACAGCUGGCUGCUUUCAGGCAGGGAUUCUGCCUAUCUUUGGAUUCUCAUAGCCUCGUA